AACGAACGCUGGCGGCAUGCCUAACACAUGCAAGUCGAUCGAGACCUUCGGGUCUAGUGGCGCACGGGUGCGUAACGCGUGGGAAUCUGCCCUUGGGUUCGGAAUAACUCACCGAAAGGUGUGCUAAUACCGGAUGAUGACGUAAGUCCAAAGAUUUAUCGCCCAAGGAUGAGCCCGCGUAGGAUUAGCUAGUUGGUGGGGUAAAGGCCUACCAAGGCGACGAUCCUUAGCUGGUCUGAGAGGAUGAUCAGCCACACUGGGACUGAGACACGGCCCAGACUCCUACGGGAGGCAGCAGUGGGGAAUAUUGGACAAUGGGCGAAAGCCUGAUCCAGCAAUGCCGCGUGAGUGAUGAAGGUCUUAGGAUUGUAAAGCUCUUUUACCCGGGAUGAUAAUGA
rnacentral:rRNA from 1 species